AGAGUUUGAUCCUGGCUCAGGACGAACGCUGGCGGCAUGCCUAAUACAUGCAAGUCGAGCGAAUGACGAAGAAGCUUGCUUCUUCUGAUUUAGCGGCGGACGGGUGAGUAACACGUGGGCAACCUGCCCUGUAGAUUGGGAUAACUCCGGGAAACCGGGGCUAAUACCGAAUAAUCCAUUUCCUCACAUGGGGAGAUGUUAAAAGACGGCAUCUCGCUGUCACUACAGGAUGGGCCCGCGGCGCAUUAGCUAGUUGGUGAGGUAACGGCUCACCAAGGCGACGAUGCGUAGCCGACCUGAGAGGGUGAUCGGCCACACUGGGACUGAGACACGGCCCAGACUCCUACGGGAGGCAGCAGUAGGGAAUCUUCCACAAUGGACGCAAGUCUGACGGAGCAACGCCGCGUGAGUGACGAAGGUUUUCGGAUCGUAAAACUCUGUUGUGAGGGAAGAACACGUACCAGGUAACUACUGGUACCUUGACGGUACCUCACCAGAAAGCCACGGCUAACUACGUGCCAGCAGCCGCGGUAAUACGUAGGUGGCAAGCGUUGUCCGGAAUUAUUGGGCGUAAAGCGCGCGCAGGCGGUCCUUUAAGUCUGAUGUGAAAGCCCACGGCUCAACCGUGGAGGGUCAUUGGAAACUGGAGGACUUGAGUGCAGAAGAGGAAAGUGGAAUUCCAUGUGUAGCGGUGAAAUGC
rnacentral:rRNA from 1 species